UACGUAGGCAGCAAGCGUUGUUCGGAAUUACUGGGCGUAAAGAGUGUGUAGGCGGUUUUCUAAGUUCGGUGUGAAAUCUCCCGGCUUAACUGGGAGGGUGCAUUAGAAACUGGAAUGCUAGAGGAUGGGAGAGGUAAGCGGAAUUCCUGGUGUAGCGGUGAAAUGCGUAGAUAUCAGGAGGAACACCUGUGGUGUAGACAGCUUACUGGACCAUUUCUGACGCUGAGACACGAAAGCGUGGGUAGCAAACAGG
rnacentral:rRNA from 1 species